rnacentral:rRNA from 1 species
CUGAUCCAGCAUGCCGCGUGUGUGAAGAAGGCCUUCGGGUUGUAAAGCUCUUUUGUCCGGAAAGAAACCGCUGUGGCUAAUAUCCGGGGCGGAUGACGGUACCGGAAGAAUAAGCACCGGCUAACUACGUGCCAGCAGCCGCGGUAAUACGUAGGGUGCGAGCGUUAAUCGGAAUUACUGGGCGUAAAGCGUGCGCAGGCGGUUUUGUAAGUCAGGCGUGAAAUCCCCGGGCUCAACCUGGGAAUUGCGCUUGAGACUGCAAGGCUAGAGUGUGUCAGAGGGGGGUAGAAUUCCACGUGUAGCAGUGAAAUGCGUAGAGAUGUGGAGGAACACCGAUGGCGAAGGCAGCCCCCUGGGACGUGACUGACGCUCAUGCACGAAAGCGUGGGGAGCAAACAGGAUUAGAUACCCUGGUAGUCCACGCCCUAAACGAUGUCUACUAGUUGUUGGGGAUUCAUUUCCUC